rnacentral:lncRNA from 1 species
UACUGUCGACCAAGUCCCUACACCAAAGAGGUUAACAAGAGAAGAGCUUCGGGAGCGAUAUGCGAAGGGGUUAUGUUGGCAUUGUGACGAGCCGUGGAGCCGUGAGCAUCGCUGUAGUAAAGGGGGACUUCUUAUGAUUGAACCGAUAGAAGAAGAGGUUAUUGAACAUCCAAAAGAGAGCCUUGAACAUGAAGAAGAAGAUGCAGAAGAAGAG